AAACCAGCACCUCAAGUGGUCAGGAUGAUUAUUGGGCCUAAAGCAUCCGUAGCCUGCUCUGUAAGUUUUCGGUUAAAUCUGUACGCUCAACGUACAGGCUGUCGGGAAUACUGCAGAGCUAGGGAGUGGGAGAGGUAGACGGUACUCGGGAGGAAGUGGUAAAAUGCUUUGAUCUUUCGAUGACCACCUGUGGCGAAGGCGGUCUACCAGAACACGUCCGACGGUGAGGGAUGAAAGCUGGGGGAGCAAACCGGAUUAGAAACCCCAGUAGUCC
rnacentral:rRNA from 1 species